GCCCGGCUAGCUCAGUCAGUAGAGCAUGAGACUCUUAAUCUCGGGGUUCUGGGUUCGAGCCCCACAUUGGGCG
rnacentral:tRNA from 1 species